rnacentral:lncRNA from 1 species
UCACGAAUACUGUAACUCAGCCGUCGAAUGAAUAGAGCAAACGACGGCGACAAUCAACCAUAAUAAGCAAAAACAAACACGAGUAUAGUCGGAAAUACAGUUCGACACUUACCGGAAUAUGAAAGGUCUCGAAUGCAGCAAAGAAACUACGACGAACUCACGGCGACUUCUUCUCUUCACAGCGACUAAAGGCGAGUUUGAAGACUGAAACAGAGAGAGCGUCGGCGGCGAGUACUGUGUAGAAGGCGAGUAUUGUCUUCAUCGUCGGCGGCGAGGAAUUUCUCUGUCGCGAGAGAGAAAGUUUUUUUUUUUUUUUUUUUUUUCAAUUGUGAACAGUGAAGAGAAAGAAACUGUUCAGUUUCUCUUUUGUAAUUAAUGAAAGAAUAACUGUAAAUGAUGAUGUGGCAAUUUCGGAUCUGAUGUGGCAAUUUCGGAUCUGAUGUGGCAAUUUUAAGAGAAAACAGAACAAGGGUGUUAAUU